CCGUUUGAUAGAAAAUGGCUGCAUUUUUUUUUAACUUUGCAGUUAUAGAUACGAAGAAAGCUUUAAACCACCAGAGGGCAUUGCAGUCAGCUUCUUCUUAUAAAUCAUUAUAAAUCACUGCUGUCAGUGAUGUCUAGUGAAAUUUGUUCCCAAUUCAACCAGAAAAAGAAGCAUUUUUAGGCCGGGUGCUGUGGCUCACACCUGUAAUCCCAGCACUUUGGGAGGCCGAGGCAGGCGGAUCACGAGGUCGGGAGUUCGAGACCAGCCUGACCAACAUGGUGAAACCCCAUCUCUACUAAAAAUACAAAAAUUAGCCAGGCGUUGGGGUGUGCGCCUGUAAUCCCAGCUACUCAGGAAGCUGAGGCAGGAGAAUCGCUUGAACCUGGGAGGCGGAGGUUGCAGUGAGCCAAGAUCACACCACUGCACUCUAGCCUGGGCAACAGAACAAGACUCUGUCUCAAAAAAAAAAAAAAAGGAAGCAUUUUUAGAUCUGAUAAACAAUCUGAAUAGGAGCUGUGACUUGAACUUAGUGGAACAGUACCCUGAAGCACCUUUUUAUAUGUAUUAAAGUGAAGAGUGGAGUUGGUAGUACUUUGUUGAAAUUAUAUUCUUUUACUUUUUUCUUUCCCCAAGCAUAUGUCCAAACUUUUAAUUUGUCAUCUAUCAUUUAUCACCUUUUUUGGCCAGAGAAUGAAGCCAGUACUUCUCCAUAUCAACAGGUAUCGAAGUGUGAGACACAAAAGUUACAGUUUUUGACCAGUAGCAUCCACCUCUUUAUGGCCUUUAUUGGAGUUAACAGAAACUUGCAAAAUUAGGCGGCUGGGCACACUGGCUCACGCCUGUGAUCCCAGCAAUUUGGGAGACCAAGGCAGAGAGAUCACUUAAGCUCAAGAGUUCAAGACAAGCCUAGGCAACAUGGCAAGACCCUGCCUCUACAAAAAAUACAAAAAUUAGCCGGGCAUGGUGCUGUGUGCCUGUGGUCUCAGCUAGUUGGGGGGCUGAGGCAGGAGGAUUGCUCGAGCCCCAGAGGCCAAGGCUGCAGUGAGCUGAGAGCACACCUCUGCAAUCCAGCCUGGGCAGCAAAGUGAGAUCCUGCCUCAAAAAAAAAAAAAAA
rnacentral:lncRNA from 1 species